GCUUCCUGGGUUAAUAUCAUGCUUCCCUUUAACGUGAGGUUUUAUUCUUGCACAGUCCCUGCCAUGUUAGAGGCGUGAAAGAGCCAAAGAAGAGGAAGGAGCACAGCAAGCAAAGCAGAGGCUCCAUUCAGCAGCGUGAAUGAGAGUGAAAGAGCCACAACGAUACAGAAGUGUGUGUGGGUUAGUCAGUGUGUGUGUGUGUGUGUGUGUGUUAGUCGGUGGUACCUGUGUGACUGAGGAGUUUAGUGAUUUCAUGCUCUGCUCCAAAACCCUUAGCUCAUCCUCCACUCGCCGAGCUCGUCUGUUAGUGGGCGUGGCGGCGUUCGUGUGCAAGCCACAACCAUUCAAACCACGGAACGCAUGCAAAUAACCAGCAGAGACAGUGAGAACACAGGGCAACACUGUUCAAAUGGUUACCAUGUCACCACACACUCUCGAGGGCCAACUGCCAGUGGUCACGUGAGCGGAAGUGCAGUAAUGUGUUCAGGGGCCGGCUGUCAUUGGAGCCUGGAAGCGUCACCUCCUCAUAUUUGCGGUCAGCCUCCUCAGCGAUGUGUUUGGCCUCUUUCAGCUGGAUCUCCUGCAGCUCCAUCUUCUCCUCGUCCUUCAUGGCCCUGUUCUCAAUGACCUUCAUGCCUCUGUGGGACAGAGCAAACAGUGGGAUCAGGAGCUGGGACCCGACAGACACAACAGUCUCCCAGAGGGAAAAACAUGUCUAAGUCUUCAAUAUGCUCUUCUAAAGGUGAACGGCUGAAUGCUUUCUGACACUGAGGGAGAAAAUACAGGAUUUGGAAUGACUGCGCCAUCGGACACAACUAGCGAGCACAGAGGCAGUGCUUGUACCCCUCACUAAGAGAUGGGGAUGUGUUCACGCCCUUGCCACCUGCUCUAAACAGCGGAAGAAACAGAAAUGGCCAAACUCACCUCUCGCUCUCAUCAGCAGCCUUCUCAGCCUCCUCCAGCUUGGUCAGGGCAGUUGCCAGACGCUCCUGUGCACGAUCCAACUCCUCCUCAACCAGCUGGAUGCGUCUGUUAAGGGAAGCGACAUCGCUCUCAGCCUGGGGAGAGAAGAACAGCGUGUCAGAAUUGUUUCGGGCCUCAAUCUUUAACGGAACAACGUGGAAUCUUCACAUGUGCACACAUUCAGGUCAGCCCAUAGAAUGUAGGUGGUGUAUGUGAGUGUAGUCAGGGUCGCACAGAAGGGUUUCCCGUUGGCACCCGUGGGGAAAUGCCCUCCCAGGAGUGUUGGCUGUGCUCCUCACUGAUCGUAAUGAUAACAAUGUCCCCGGCUGACAGAAGUUUGAAUACCCCGGCCUCAUUACUGGGCCCCUGGGAGAACAUUAACAAGGCUCAAGUCAAAGGGCCUGGGACAAUAACACUGGAAAUGACUGCUACACAUUCAACCAGGGGAAACUCUCUGGAUAGUUUCUGACUGAGGGAAACAUUUAAUAUCACCGGUCCCAUGCUGGAUGAUCUGUUUGAGCCUUGGAGGAAGAUUGCUGUUUCAUUAAUCUGGGGUGUGAUAUUGAAAAACGAGAGCAGGCCUCUCUUGAGAUCAGUCAAACCUGUGUCUGCUUCUGCUUUCUGCUUUCUGCUCGGCGUACUGAAAGAUGCACAGUGAAAACCGGAUACAGCCAGAAGUCUGAGGUCUAUUCAGGCUCUUUCCCCCUGCAGCCCGUGUUAAAGUGUGCAGGGGGUGCAUGGGCCAAAGUGCAAAUGGAGGUGUGAAGCGUGACAAGGAAGUUAGUGAUCAUCUAUAAACUGAAGCUGUGGCCUUGGUUCUGUUUAAAACACACUGUAAGGCCCUGACGAAAGAGUUUACUCUCAUUUAGGUAAGAGCUGAUGUGUCCACACUAAAGGAAGUCCCUCUAGCUGUGAAAACCUGUUGUCCUUAUAUGGGCAAGUCAAAGAGCAGACUGCCACCUUAAAUAUUCCCGCAGUUUACAUGUAACUUCCUGCUUUCUUGAAAUGAAGAGUUUGCGCCUUGCUUCUGUGGCGCCUGCAGCUGAGAAUAAACCCAACUUAUUGCGCACUAGCCCGGACGGGACCGUUACAUCGAAGCGCGUCAGAAUGAGACGUAAAGUGUCACAAAGGAGGAAGAUUUAGCACCACAUGUGACAAGGUGCUCCCAAGUGGCUGCAGCUGACUGUGAGCUGGGCAUCAACGGGCCCGACGUCUCCGGUCAUAAGCUCUGAGCCCCGGAGCAGCUGGGUAUCAGACCCGGAGCAGGACUUAGUGGUGGAGCUGCAGGGAGCCGAGAAAAGCUCAUCAUGCAGGACCGCGCCGCAUCCAGAGAGAUCCCUCGGUCUCACUGCGUAUGCAACACAGCGAGCUGCACACUAAUGCACAUUACGAGAGGGGGGUGUGAGGGCUAAUUUCUGCGUCUUUACGCGCAGUUAAACGUGCUUACUUGUUCCCUGGUCUUCUUCUCCGUUAGCAAUUCCCUCUGUAAUCUCUCGACUCUCUCCUCAGCAUUGUCCGCCUGCGUUUGCAACGAUUUGAUCCUUCGUUUCACCGCAUCCAACGAUGCAGCCCCGGCCAUUGUUUUACUCUACAGCUCUAUACAGGUAUGUUAUAAAUA